CACACGAGAACGAAUAUGUCAAAUUAAAAAGGUAAUUUUUAGAUUUCAUUCGAUAUUUCCUAUAUCAAUUCUUUUUUCAUCUUUAGUUCUGGCGUUUUGUUUAUUUCCCUAUAUAUAUAUAAUAUUGCUAUGACAUACACUAGUGAAAUUUGUCAAAGUAUAUAUAUAUAUAUUUCUACUUUCGUUCUGCUGCAAGGUAUUUGUCUUUGUUUUAUCAGCAACCCUUAAAAUGUGGACGUUAAGCAACCAACAAUCAAUCCAUCAAUCUGGAUAUAUACACGGACAUACAUGUUUCAUCGAUAUCGGUCGUGCACAUAUUUGGAUAUAUCAUAUAUCCUUUUUUCCCGUUUAAUUCACAUACGAAUCAGUUGAAGUUCAACUACUGCAUGAAUUAGCGCAUGAGUAUCAUUUCAUGAAGAUAUAAAAUAAGGAAAAUACAGAUGCAUGCCCAAACGAAUGCUUUGUAUGCCUCACUUAGAUGCAUUAUGUUGUUCAUCCGUCCGUCCGUUCGUUCGAUCGUCUGUCCCGCUUCAGGUUAAAGUUUUUAUGCCCAUUUAUGGGCAUUAUGUUUUCUGUUCUGUGCGUCCGUCCGUCUGUUCGUUGGACUGUCUGCCCCGCUUCAGGUUAAAGUUUUCAGGUUAAAGUUUUUGGUCGAGGUAGUUUUUGAUGAAGUUGAAGUCCAAUCAACUUGAAACUUAAAACACAUGUUCCCUAUGAUAUGAUCUUUCUAAUUUUAAUGCCAACGUAGAGAUUUUCUCUCAUUUUCACGGUCCACUGAACAUAGAAAAUGAUAGUGCGGAUGGGCCAUCCGUGUACUGGGGGUCGACACAUUCUUGUUGGUUAAAGUUUUUGGUCAAGGUAGUUUUUGAUGAAGUUGAACUCCAAAUUAGAGUUUUGACCCAAAUAUAAGGUCUACUGAACAUAAUAAAUGGUGGUGCGAGUGAGGCACCCGUAGACUAUGAACAAAACCUUUUUUUGCUAUAUAUUCAUAUGUUGGUAUUUCUAUAAGAAGAACACGACAACACUGCACACUGAAGCAGGGCUCUGUCAUCACAUGCAAUGUGCUACAAUGAAAGCAUAUGUAUAGCCAUACUAGCUAUUCAAUGUAAUCGUUAAUUAACCUUUAUGAGAGGCCCAGAUAGUUUAACAAUAUUACAAGUAGUAUCAUGCCAGGCUAUAUUUUAUAGGUCCUUUAUGGUCAUAUAGCCCUUCAACUGUUAAGAAUAUUAUUAGAUCUUAGCUUUCAAAUAUUCGGCUGUAAGUGUGAAGGAAAGUAUCUCGGUCUCAUGAAAUUUAUAACGUGUUUUCAUUUUAUAUAGAAAUUGAAUUGAAGUUAGAUUUAUUUUAAUAAAAUCUAUUUCUGAACAAUAAAUUUUGUAUUUGUAUACAAUUAUAGCUUUCUACUUAUUCGGUCUUAACCUUCCUGUACCUCUAAUUGUCCAGACGGGAUUAAGAGAAUAGAAAAUGAACUUAGGUGUCAUGAUGUAAAUUUCUGUAAUUUAUUUCAUAACUUUUCAAUCAUGACUGUUUUGUGUUGUUACAAUCUUUCUCAAAAAUAAGUAAAAUAGAAUUUAAAAAGUCAAUGUCAUUAAGCUUAAUCAAUACUUGUAAAUAGACCAAAUUUGUCAAAUGUUUAUUUAAAAUUAGUGUAAUUUUAUAUUCGAGCAAUUCGAUAUUUGAUCUAAAAAGAGACAAUAAGAAAAUAUAGUCAGCAAGUAUAACCGAACCGUUAGAAUACGGAUGACCCCGUAUUGCUACAUUUAAGGACUUUCCAGCGGACUGUGCCCUUUUUAGCUCACCUGGCCCGAAGGGCCAAGUGAGUUUUUCUCAUCACUUUGCGUCCGUCGUCCGUCGUCGUCGUCGUCGUCGACUUAAUUUUGGACUCUCUCUAUUUAUCAGUUAAAUCAGUUUUCCACUUUUUAGCUCACCUAGCCCAAAGGGCCAAGUGAGCUUUUCUCAUCACUUUGCGUCCUGCGUCCGUCGUCGUCGUCCGGCGUUGUUAACUUUUACUAAAAUCUUCUCCUCUGAAACUACUGGGCUAAAUUAAACCAAACUUGGCCACAAUUAUCAUUGGGGUAUCUAGUUUUAAAAAUGUGUGAUGGGAUCCGGCCAACCAACCAAGAUGGCCGCCAUGGCUAAAAAUAGAACAUAAGGGUAAGAUGUAGAUUUUGACUUAUAACUCUGAAACCAAAGCAUUUAGAGCAAAUCUGACAUGGGGGUAAAAUUGUUUAUCAGGUCAAGAUCUAUCAGCCCUCAAAUUUUCAGACGAAUCGGACAACCGGUUGCUGCCCCUGAAUUGGCAAUUUUAAGGAAAUUAUAAUGUUUUUUGGCUAUUAUCUUGAAUAUUAUUAUAGAUAGAGAUAAACUGUAAACAGCAAUAAUGUUCAACAAAAUAAGAUCUACAAAUAAGUUAAUAUGACUAAAAUGGUCAGUUGACCCCUUAAGGAGUUGUUGCCCUUUAUAGUCAUUUUUUACCAAUUUUUCGUAAAUUUUUGUAAUCUUUUACAAAAAUCUUCUCCUCUAAAACUACUGGCCAAAAUUUAACCAUACUUGGCCAUAAUCAUCAUUGAGGUAUCUUGUUUAAAAAAAAUGUGUGCGGUGACCCUGCCAACCAACCAAGAUGGCAGCCAGGGCUCAAAAUAGAACAUAGGGGUAACAUGUAGAUUUUGGCUUAUAGCUCUGAAACCAAAGCAUUAAGAGCAAUUCAGACAUGGGGGUUAAAUUGUUUUGCAAGUCAAGAUCUAUCUGCCCUGAAAUUUUCAGAUGAAUCAGACAACCGGAUGUUGGGUUGCUGCCCCUGAAUUAGUAUUUUUUAGGAAAUUUUGCUGUUUUUGGUUAUUAUCUUGAAUAUUAUUAUAGAUAGAGAUAAACUAUAAAUAGCAAUAAUGUUUGGCAAAGUAAGAUCCACAAAUAAGUCAACAUGACCAAAAAGGUCAGUUGACCCUUAAGGAGUUAUUGCCCUUUAUAGUCCAUUUUUAAUAAUUUUGUAAAUUUUUGUAAAUUUUAAUAAAAUAUUUUCCUCUUUAACUAAUGGGCCAAGUCCAUUAUAAAUUGAGAUAAUUGUAAGAAGCAAGAAUGUUCAGUAAAGUAAGAUCUACAAACACAUCACCAUCACCAAAACACAAUGUCAUGAAUCCAUCUGUGUCCUUUGUUUAAUAUGCACAUAGACCAAGGUGAGCGACACAGGCUCUUAAGAUCCUCUAGUUAUAUUGUUUUAAACAACUACUGUUAAUUGUUAUUCUUUAUUGAUAUUUAUUUGCAGCUUUUUGUGUGAAAUGGCGACAUCCUCUCAAAACUGUGGUGUUUGUGACGCACGCCACAUCAACAAACCAUCUACAAUCUGGUGCACAGAAUGUGACGAGGGACUAUGUACAGAAUGCCAGGAACAUCACAGUUUGUCCAAAGGAACAAGAAACCAUAAAGUGAUACCAAUCAUUGAAUACAAGCAAUUACCAGCUGAUGUACUCAAGAUUAGUCAAAUCUGUAGCAAACACAAUCAAAAGUUUCAAAUCUAUUGCCAGAUGCAUGAAUGUCCCUGUUGCAGCAAGUGUGUUGUAGAAAGCCAUAACGAUUGCCAUGAUAUCGUUAAUUUAGAUGACGUCAUUCUUAAUUCAAAAACAUCGAAUGCCUUGUCCGAGAUAGAAGAUUCGUUAGUUGAAGUAGCAGAAAACAUUAAAAAAAUUCGUGAGAACCAACAGGAUAAUCUUUCAGCUUUGAAAGAGAGGAGAAAGGAAAUUGAAGAAGAAAUCGAGAAGACCAGAAUAAAGAUCAACAACCGUCUUGACAAGUUGCAAAAAGAUUUGAUAAAACAACUGAAUGCGUACAAAGAUAAAGAAAAAUCGAAAAUUCUUCAGUUACUAUCAUCAUUGGAAAAGAAGGAAAAGGAAGUUGCCGAUUGUCAGCGAAACAUUGGAAACAUCAAACAACACGGAACACACCUUCAGAUGUUUCUUUCAAUGAAGCCUAUAAAAGAGGACGUCUCUAGUAAAGAAAAGUUCCUGCACUCACUUUUCCAAGGUGAGGAUUUGAACCAGAAUUCUCUAGACUAUACAAUAAACGGUGCUAUUCAGAAUAUCAUGUCAAAUGUAACUAGUUUUGGAGAAGUAUAUAUUGAAGCUAAACCUUGCGAUCUUGUCCUGAGUAGAAAGAAUGCUAAACAAGCCCAGAUAAUGAUACCAACCGUUCAAGCAAGAUCCAUUGAAGAUAUACAGCUGCGUAUAAACAAGACAAUAAACACACAAGGACAACGCGUUUACGGAUGUUGCAUGCUGCUGGAUGGUAGAUUGGUAUUUACUUUCCGCGAUGAAAGGACAGUAAAAGUCUUCAGCAUGGAGGGAUCAAAAGAUUUUGAGAUGGAGAUACCGUGUGGAGUAUUUCAUAUAGUAAACAUCGGCGAUACCAAUACAUUGGUUGUUACAUCCGGGGAAUCAGAGAAGCAAUGUCUUACCAUUAUAGACCUGGAGAGGAAACUAAUCAAGAAAACAAUUUCACUGGCUUCGCAAAAUUAUGGCAUGGUAUUGAAAGACAAUCAGUUGAUUUAUUCCGCUUACAACAAAGGCAUACGAAUGAUAACUCUGUACGACGAGUCUUCGAGUGACAUAGUCCAAGAAGAGAUGGCCACUGAAGGUUACCUAGCAACAUUCAAAGACAACAUUUAUCAUACAAACAGACUAGCACACACUGUUACAUGUUAUAACCUUCAAGGUGGAAUACAAUGGACCUUUCAAAAUGAAAGCGUUCUGGAUAAUCCUCUAGGGGUCACUGUAGAUAAUGAUGGUUAUGUGUAUGUGGUGGGGUUUUGGAAGAACAAUCUUGUAGUUAUUUCCCCUGACGGACAACAACACAGAGAAGUGUUGACAGAAAGGGAUGGUCUUUAUAAUCCCGUCUCUCUUCAUUAUUGCGGAUUAAAGAAACAGUUACUAGUAGCCAACUGGAAUGACCAGGCUCACUUGUUUGAUUUUAUUUGAAUUAUUUAAAUUAGGAAAUUUCUCUCUUUUAAAUCAUAGCGAAAUGUUUCGAUAUCAAUUUAAUUUUAUGCACCUUUAUCGUUUGUUUUAUAAAUUGUAUAUUAAGUAUGAUUAACAGUUUAUUCG
rnacentral:lncRNA from 1 species